UACUACUACUACUACUAAUAUACUAAAAUUGAAACCAUACAGAUAAUAUUAGCAUUGCCCCUUCGUAAGAAUGACUCGAAAAAUCGUGAAUCCACAUGUUUUAUU
rfam:Bombyx mori DNA, contig: Bm_scaf2_contig2012, strain: p50T/Dazao, build 2, whole genome shotgun sequence.